UGUGAUGAUAAGAUGCCUCUUUUGUAAUAAUCAUGUUGUCACAGUGGGAUGUUGAGUUCAUGUAGUACAUGUUAACCUUUUACGUAUUUGUUUGACUUUACAGAAGAUGAUACUCAGUUUGACUGUGGCUGCCCUCUUUGACAGUGUAGCAUAUGUCAUGGUAAGUUUCUCUUGUUUUCUUAAGUAAAUGUUCAUUGUGUGUGUAUGUUUUAUUUAUUUUUUCAUGUCUGUGUUUCUCCUCAGGGGGAAUCUCAUCCACAGGGAUCUCUGUGUAGCUUUCAAGCCUGGUGGCUGACAUACUUUGACUGGAGUGCCUUGGUUUGGGUUUGCCUGAUCACACUGAACCUGUACCUGAACCUGGUUAGAGAGAUAAGCACCAUUAGAUAUGAGAUGUUGUACCAUCUGAUGGCGUGGGGUGUGCCUUUGGUCAUGGCCUCUUUGCCGCUGCUCAAGGGUUAUUACGGCCCUGCAGGACCCUGGUGCUGGAUCACAGCCGAUCACGUAGCCUGGAGAUUUGGGAUAUGGUACGUGCCUCUUUUCAGCCUCAUUAUCCUGAUGAUGUGCUGCUAUGGCAGGAUCAUCUGUGUGGCCAAUCAGCGGGUUUCCUUGGCAGAGGAGAUCAAGCCAUUGAAGUGGUAUCCAUCUGUAUAUCUGCUGGUUUCCAUCUUUCCUCUCAUCAACAGACUGCAUAAUGUCCUCUACCCUCAGAACCCAUUCUUCUCCCUCACAUUGUUGCACGUCCUGUCAGCACCACUCCAUGGCUUGGCCAAUGCUUUUGUCUUUGGCUUGGAUAGAGAAUGGUGGAGCCUUGUGAGCCCAACUGGCAUGCAGCUGGCUCUGCAGUCUCGGCUCUGUGACAGGACUCGAAUCGGAGAGUACCACCCUGGAGCGGUACGCUACACGCAGGCUGACCUUGUGGACCACAGCGAUGACGAUGACGAUGACACCAACGUUCUCUUCUACUCACCUGACAUGACCCUGAAAGACCGAGGGCCCUGAGAGAGAACCGUGGAAUAGGAGAGAGGAAGCAGGGAGACAAAGAGACGACGCAAAGGAGCACGAAGAAGGGUCACAGCCAGGGAGAAACACGACGGAUUAGAAACUGAGAGGCAGGAAAAAGAGGUAGGGAGGGAAUGGAGGAGAAGAUUGGGAGGACAUUCAGGCAGAUAGGAGCCGGAGAUGAGCUGUCAGGUUCCAUUAUUAAUCCCCAUCCUUUACUAUUUAAUAUCCUAAAGACGCACACAGCACACAUACUGAGCAGAGCAGCAGCUCACUGCAAUGCUGCCCACUCUAAAGACCCCUCUAAUGUUAGAGUCAUCUGCUGCAGUGCAAAGGUCUAGAAACCUAAUCUUCUUUUCUUUUCUGUUUUUUUCUCACCAUUUUCCUAAUCCUGUGUUGUGUCGUAUUUGGUCUCCAAGACAGGAAAUAGAUCAAGAAAAAACAACAUGUUGUUUUUAGCUUGAGCAACAAUUCUCUGCAGUAGAUGUGUUGAAAAGCAGAUAUUUAAAAGGAACUCUAAGCGAAGAAUGCAAAAAGAUAAAAUUAAAUGAUAGGAAAUCAGGCAUAGGAUGUAUUGAAAGAAAAUCAAUCUGACCACUAAAAGUCACUCCAAAAAAGUGCUGGUUUUUUUUAAAAGCAUUUGUUUUACAGCUAAUUGUGGCCAUCAGAGUUUUUUUUUUUUUUACAAAAGUUUGAAUUUUUUGUUCUUUUUUUAUUACCAUUAGACUUGUUCGUUAUACUAUAUUUAUGAGAUCAAUACUGUGUGUAUAUAUGUGAAAGUUCUAUUUUUGUACGUGCCUGAGACGAGAAAUUUAAAGAAAUCUUCAAAUCCAAGCCUGACAUCGUCACGUGACAGACAAGCACGGCAUCAUUCACAGCACACACACCGUCACAAUCCACGGGAGGAAAAGGGAAAAAAAAGCAGCCAUUAGUCAAACAUGUUCCCACGCACACACUCAGGCAGGUUUCAAAGGUGCUUGUCAAAACAGGUUGGAAAAGAUGACACACACUGCGACACCCACGGCGCAGCAUCAGCUUUGAUGGUUCAUCAUCUCGUGGCCUUUUGUCAGUCGUCGCUGAGCGGACAGCUGAGGUGUGAUUGGCAGGAUAAUGGAGCCACUUUAUAUUCAACCACAGCCAGCUUAGUUUUUCAACAUCCAGGUGGGUACCAUGGUGGUGGUUGAUGGGCGCUGUCCUCCAUGCAGCUGUCAGCCACCGCCCCUCUGACAGGGUGAACUAAUGAACUGACAUUUGACACCCCCCACCCCUAAGGUUUCAGACUUAUCAUUGGGUGUCUGUGGCACCCCAAUACAACUUGGGUUUGCAAUACGACACUAAAAUGCAACGCGCACUCAUUUCCAUAAUAUCUGGCACUGUUGCUGGUUGUACUCGACUGUGCACUCCAUCAAAUAAAUGAGCAGCACAGACAUUUCA
ensembl:lncRNA cyclic AMP receptor-like protein A